CUCCAGGACCCUGUGGGAGUCCCGGGCAUUGUCCCACGUCCAGCUCACCACUGAGGUACCAGGAGUGCAGGCUGCAGUGUGCCUGUCCCCAGGCCCGGGCCCCAGCUUCCCCUGGGCGCAGUGGGGUCGGGGAAUCGCUCCCUCCCGGGGUUUAAAGCAGCUGGAUGGAGCAGUGACCACUGCAAGGCUGAGCGGAGACUCCGGGCUCGUGGGGGUGGACACUCAGGGGUCACCGGCGAGCCAGGCUGCUUCCCCCGACCUGCCCACCCCAGCGGCCUCCCCUCAUGCGUAUUUGAUUCCGCCGACAGCCCAGGGCGGUGGCACUGCUGUGGGUUAGGGUGGGGGAGGGGUGGACGCUGCCCAGGAGGACUGUGGUCAGGGCCGCCUGCUGCUGGAGUGUGACCUCCCCACUCCCACCAUCCUGGCCAUACCUGACGGCAACAAAGAGAAGCAGGGCCCCGGGGACACCGUAGAAGGGGACGUAGGACAAGAAGAAGCGGGAGUAGAAGCUGGCAGCCCAGAGCAAGUCCUGCAGGGGGUGGAGGCAAUGCUGAGCGGCCUCCGGGGCCGAGGUCUGGAGGCCGGCCAGCGGGAGGGGGUGAGGGAGGGGCCGGGGCCAUCUGACCUUCGGCUUCAUUUGCCUGGGAGCCCUGGAUAGGCCACUGCCCCUCCCUGGGCCUCUACUUUCUCAGCUGGGUGAAAGGACAAGGUCCCUGUGCUGUCAGCUCACAGGGCUGACCACGGAGGGGAAGGCUAUCUAUCAUGUGCCUGGCACCGCGGGCCCAGAGACCCCUGCGGACACCCCUACAGAGACGCACUCGGUGCCUCUGUGGGCGCUUGCUCUCCCUGCAGGCUACACAGUCAGGCAGACACUUGCUCCCCACCCCCGCGCACCCCCAUGCGUGGGCACCCCUCUGCCCUGGGGCUGAAGCCCUGCCCCGGCUGUCCACGGGUCCUGAGCAUCCCCCACUCACUGUCCACUGCAGGCACACCAGCAUGUACGCCAGAUUCUCCACUUCAAAGUUCACCAAGAAAGGGCCCUGUCUGCACCUGGGAGGGAAGAAUGCUGCCCAGAGAGGCCCUGGAGAAUCUGGACAGGCCUGGCCGGGCUUCCCUACUCGCCCGUCUCCAUUGGCUCUAUUCUUCCUGUCCAGUUCUACACGGCUGCCCUGCUGCACGGACCCCAAGGGUACAAAUGGAGAGUUUGCCCUGGUCGGUCUUUGGUUCUUCCCUCUGAAGACUCCCUUGUCCCAUAAAAUGAUGAGCAAAUAAAUUUGCUUUUCUCUCGUUAA